rnacentral:rRNA from 1 species
CUUGAGAGCGGCGUACGGGUGCGGAACACGUGUGCAACCUACCUUUAUCAGGGGGAUAGCCUUUCGAAAGGAAGAUUAAUACCCCAUAAUAUAUUGAAUGGCAUCAUUUAAUAUUGAAAACUCCGGUGGAUAGAGAUGGGCACGCGCAAGAUUAGAUAGUUGGUAGGGUAACGGCCUACCAAGUCAGUGAUCUUUAGGGGGCCUGAGAGGGUGAUCCCCCACACUGGUACUGAGACACGGACCAGACUCCUACGGGAGGCAGCAGUGAGGAAUAUUGGACAAUGGGUGAGAGCCUGAUCCAGCCAUCCCGCGUGAAGGACGACGGCCCUAUGGGUUGUAAACUUCUUUUGUAUAGGGAUAAACCUACUCUCGUGAGAGUAGCUGAAGGUACUAUACGAAUAAGCACCGGCUAACUCCGUGCCAGCAGCCGCGGUANNACGGAGGGUGCAAGCGUUAUCCGGAUUUAUUGGGUUUAAAGGGUCCGUAGGCGGAUCUGUAAGUCAGUGGUGAAAUCUCAUAGCUUAACUAUGAAACUGCCAUUGAUACUGCAGGUCUUGAGUAAAGUAGAAGUGGCUGGAAUAAGUAGUGUAGCGGUGAAAUGCAUAGAUAUUACUUAGAACACCAAUUGCGAAGGCAGGUCACUAUGUUUUAACUGACGCUGAUGGACGAAAGCGUGGGGAGCGAACAGGAUUAGAUACCCUGGUAGUCCACGCCGUAAACGAUGCUAACUCGUUUUUGGGUUUUCGGAUUCAGAGACUAAGCGAAAGUGAUAAGUUAGCCACCUGGGGAGUACGUUCGCAAGAAUGAAACUCAAAGGAAUUGACGGGGGCCCGCACAAGCGGUGGAUUAUGUGGUUUAAUUCGAUGAUACGCGAGGAACCUUACCA